AUGAGAAAGGCGCCGGAGCCGCUGCUGAAGGUAUGGAAGAUGAGGUCUGUGUUCUGGGACUUGGAGUACUGGCACAAACUCGAUACACCUCAUUGCCUUGAUCAAAUGCAUAUCUGUAAGAAUGUCCUUGAGAGCUUGCUCGCAACACUGAUGAACAUGUCGGAUAAGACCAAGGAUGGGCCGAAGGCAAGAAAAGACUUGCAAGAUUUGAAAAUCAGGGAAGAUCUGCACAUGCCGCCCCGUAAAAUGUCAGACGAGAUAGAGACGGAGACAGAGGCAUGGGAGAAGAAGGACAAGAAAAUAAAGAAAGAGGAUUAUUGCCCCCCUUCUUGCUUCACCUUAAGUCAGGCUGAGAUCAAUCAAUUCUUUAAGUGCCUUAUCGGAGUCAAAGUUAGUUCCGGUUACUGUGGCAAGAUAAGCAGAUAUCUAGACACGGACAAGAAAAGGUUCAGCGGGAUGAAGUCUCAUGACUGUCAUGUGAUGAUGACGCAGAUACUACCUGUUGCCCUUAGAGGGAUAAUGGAUAAGCACGUCCGUGACACGCUUAUUGGUCUCUGCAACUUUUUCGACGUCAUCUCUUGA
rnacentral:rRNA from 1 species